rnacentral:rRNA from 1 species
UAUUAUUCUAAUAGUAAUUUUAGUCGUCAGGGUAGUAUAAUAUAAAGUUUGAAACCUAAAGAAUUUGGCGGUGUUUUAGUCUCUUUAGAGGAAUCUGUCCUUUAAUUGAUGCUACACGAUCAUUUGUACCUAAUUUAUGCUUGUAUACCGUCGUCAUCAGAUAAACUUUUUAGAGUGUUUUCAUGAGUCUAAUAAUGAAAUAUGUCAGAUCAAGGUGCAGUUUUUUAGGCAGGAGAUGGAUUACAAUAAUAAAAGUUAUUAUGGAUUAUAAAUAUAAAAUUUAUAUGAAGGUGGAUUUAAAAGUAAAGUUAUUUUAGAUGAUAAUUUGGUUUGGGCUCUAGAAUGUGCACAUAUCGCCCGUCGCUCUCAUUAUUAAGAUGAG